rnacentral:rRNA from 1 species
UACGUAGGGUGCGAGCGUUAAUCGGAUUUACUGGGCGUACAGGGAGCGUAGGCGGUUGGGUAAGCCCUCCGUGAAAUCUCCAGGCUUAACCUGGAAAGUGCAGAGGGGACUGCUCGGCUAGAGGAUGGGAGAGGAGCGCGGAAUUCCCGGUGUAGCGGUGAAAUGCGUAGAGAUCGGGAGGAAGGCCGGUGGCGAAGGCGGCGCUCUGGAACAUUUCUGACGCUGAGGCUCGAAAGCGUGGGGAGCAAACAGGAUUAGAUACCCUGGUAGUCCACGCCUUAAACGAUGGAUACUAAGUGUCGGCGGGUUACCGCCGGUGCCGCAGCUAACGCAGUAAGUAUCCCGCCUGGGAAGUACGGCCGCAAGGUUGAAACUCAAAUGAAUUGACGG